UGGUGGCUGUGAGAGUGUUGUGCCGAGCCCCGCCAGUCAGUCAGUCAGUCAGACAGGGUAGCUAGCUGCCUCUCAUUAGUCACAUCGACGUCACGUGACGUGCUUUAUUAGUAAACGGCAUUAGACUUUAUCAGAUUAUAUACUGCGACGGUGGAAGUCACAACCCUCCAGACAUCUUGACGAAGGGAAUAAACAACCUUCACUUCUCAUAUAUUUUGAUUCCGAAUACAGGACCCAGCAUGAAGCUUGGCCUACUGGUGCCCCUGGUGCUGGCUCUCAUUGUGUCCCACACCGCGACUUCGGCCCCUCUUGUCGAUGAACGGCGCCCUGAGCGAUCUGUGGGUUUCCGCGGUGUGGUCUUGCCGCCCAUACUCGACGGCAGCGAUAGACGCAACGCCGGCCCAGGUCGCCUCCCGCACGGGGUGUUCGGCAACAACGGCGUGGGCAAGUGAGACUGCAGUCGAUGACGGACGCCUGGAUUCUUCUUUGUCCACGUGGCUGUCACUUUGGCGUCCAGCUUUUCCCUUACAUGUUCCCAGUACCCGGAUAAACUGAAAUAAAGCUGUUAAUGUAAA